rnacentral:lncRNA from 1 species
AUGGCUACCCAGCAAGGAGCUCCAUCCCGUCCAUGGUUCCGCCUAGCAACCAUGGUUCGACCACCACCACCAGCAGCUCCACCGGCACCAACCNNNNNNNNNNNNNNNNNCCACCACCACCACCACCUCCACCACAACCUGAUCAAGCCCCGCCACCACCACCAAGGCCAGCAGCAUUCAUGCGACCAGCAUUUUCUCAGACAUUUCGAGCACCACCAACUGUACCUCCUACACAAACCACCACAACCCCACCGCCUGUAUCUCCACCACGACCUAUCGCAACCUUACCUGCUGCUAAUGGUGUAGCACCAACAUCACCACCACAACCGCCAUCAGCCAGAGCUUCACCACCACCACCACCACCACCACCGUCACCUAAGGUGACUUCAUCUUCAACCUCUAGCACUUCACCAAUGCAACAAUCUCGAUCUCCCUCACCGGUGCCAACUCCCCAUGUAUCACCUCCACCUCCGCCUCCACCGCCUCAGCCAUCAUAUUCACCACCACCCAUCCCUCG